rnacentral:rRNA from 1 species
UGGGGAAUAUUGGACAAUGGGCGAAAGCCUGAUCCAGCCAUGCCGCGUGUGUGAAGAAGGUCUUCGGAUUGUAAAGCACUUUAAGUUGGGAGGAAGGGCAGUAAGCGAAUACCUUGCUGUUUUGACGUUACCGACAGAAUAAGCACCGGCUAACUCUGUGCCAGCAGCCGCGGUAAUACAGAGGGUGCAAGCGUUAAUCGGAAUUACUGGGCGUAAAGCGCGCGUAGGUGGUUCGUUAAGUUGAAUGUGAAAGCCCCGGGCUCAACCUGGGAACUGCAUCCAAAACUGGCGAGCUAGAGUAGGGCAGAGGGUGGUGGAAGUUCCUGUGUAGGGGUGAAAGGAGUAGAUAGAGGAAGGAAGAAAAGGGGAGAAGGAGAGAACCUGGGGGGAUACUGACACUGGGGUGAGAAAGCGGGGGGAGCAAACAGG